rnacentral:rRNA from 1 species
UACGGGGGGGGCAAGCGUUGUUCGGAAUUACUGGGCGUAAAGGGUUCGUAGGUGGCCUGCUAAGUCAGACGUGAAAUCCCUCGGCUCAACCGGGGAACUGCGUCUGAGACUGGCGGGCUUGAGUACAGGAGAGGAACGCGGAAUUCCAGGUGUAGCGGUGAAAUGCGUAGAUAUCUGGAGGAACACCGGUGGCGAAGGCGGCGUUCUGGACUGUUACUGACACUGAGGAACGAAAGCCAGGGGAGCAAACGGG